AAUACUUGUCGCUUUGAGUUUUUAUUUGUAACGUUUGAUCAUUCGUCUUAUUCAAAAAAUUAUGGAAUUAUUAUUUAUUUUUUAACUUGUUUAUUAUCAAAAGUAUUUAAGUAUGACUUAUCUUUUUUUUAUAUUUACACUAAUUUUUCAAAUAAGACAAAUGGUCAAAAGUUGCAAGCAGAAAGUCAAAGCGACAUCUAUU
rnacentral:pre_miRNA from 1 species